rnacentral:rRNA from 1 species
UACGUAGGGGGCAAGCGUUAUCCGGAAUUACUGGGUGUAAAGGGUGAGUAGGCGGCAUGACAAGUAAGAUGUGAAAGCCCGUGGCUUAACCACGGGAUUGCAUUUUAAACUGUUGAGCUAGAGUACAGGAGAGGAAAGCGGAAUUCCCAGUGUAGCGGUGAAAUGCGUAGAUAUUGGGAAGAACACCAGUGGCGAAGGCGGCUUUCUGGACUGAAACUGACGCUGAGGCACGAAAGCGUGGGGAGCGAAC